rnacentral:rRNA from 1 species
AACGAACGCUGGCGGCAUGCCUAACACAUGCAAGUCGAACGAGACCUUCGGGUCUAGUGGCGCACGGGUGCGUAACGCGUGGGAACCUGCCCUUAGGUUCGGAAUAACUCCCCGAAAGGGGUGCUAAUUCCGGAUAAUGUCUUCGGACCAAAGAUUUAUCGCCUUUGGAUGGGCCCGCGUUGGAUUAGCUGGUUGGUAGGGUAAAAGCCUACCAAGGCGACGAUCCAUAGCUGGUCUGAGAGGAUGAUCAGCCACACUGGGACUGGGACACGGCCCAGACUACUACGGGAGGCAGCAGUGGGGAAUAUUGGACAAUGGGCGAAAGCCUGAUCCAGCAAGGCCGCGUGAGUGAUGAAGGUCUUAGGGUUGUAAAGCUCUUUUACCCGGGAUGAUAAUGACAGUACCGAGAGAAUAAGCUCCGGCUAACUCCGUG